rnacentral:misc_RNA from 1 species
UGCUCAAAUGCCUCGAGGGGGAGACCAGCCAGACCCUCAGCUUUGAACAACGUCUCUUCCGCGAACGGGCUUUGCCCGACCUGGGCAAGAACAUCCUGUGCGGGAACAGUUUGAUUGGCACGGACAUCGUGGGGACCGACGCGUGGAACGCAAUGAGCGAGGAGGAACGGCGCCGAGUGAACCCGUUCGACUAUGAGCCGGCGUUUCCGCAGGUGUUCAAGAAUAAGAAGGACGGUGGGUUUGACGCGGUCAUCGGGAAUCCGCCGUACAUCUUUACUCGUGAACUGAUGACGGAGGCGGAACGCGAUUACUACGCAUCCAAGUUCGUGGCGUCUUGGGAGAAGCAGAAUACCUUCAUGCUGUUCAUGGAACACGCCGAGCAGAUGACGCAGAGCGCGGGCCUCUUCUCGUACAUCGUGCCGAAUUCGUGGCUCACAGUGGAGAGCGCGAAACUCCUUCGCGAACUACUCCGCCCAAAGCUCAAGGUGAUCAUCGAUCUCAACUACCAGGUUUUCGAUGACGUCUCUAUGGAGCCGUCUAUUUUCAUUUGCGGCAAGCACAAGUCAGAAACGGUAGCGGUGACACGUGUUAAUUCCCGUGCGGAGUUCGCUCACCCUGUCUGGCGGAUAAUUGAAAAAGGGAAAUGGGAUACGAGCGGUCGUAUCACGUUCAACGCAACAGCAGGCUUGGACCAGUUGCUGGCCAAGGCGACUUCAUCUUCAUCCACAGUGGGCGACGUAUUCGACGUACGAACUGGCCUACAGGCCUACGAGGCUGGGAAGGGUACGCCGAAGCAAACCGCUGCUGAUGUUCGUGAUCAUGUGUUCGACAGGGAUCGGAAGGACUCCGAACACACAUUUCCGUAUUUGGAGGGCCGUGAUGUCAAACGGUACGAGACCGUCUGGUCGGGGAUGUGGAUGAAGUACGGGCCGUGGCUGUCCCAACCGCGAACGAUUGACAUGUUUUCGCGCCCACGCGUCUUAAUUCGCGAGAUCACUGCCCCGCCACCCCGAUGUCUCUUCGCGACACUUCAGAA